CCAAGGAGUCUAACAUGUGCGCGAGUCACUCGGUCUUGAAUAGGCCAGAGAGGCGCAAUGAAAGUAAAGUUGAUUGAGUUACGAUCCUCAUGCGGUUAUUCUGUUUUGAGUAACGGUGAGGCGCAGUAACAGCCCGCUAAUUUCGCUUAUUGACGAUAUGGCGGAGUUGUAGCGUACACGUUGGUACCCGAAAGAUGGUGAACUAUGCCUGGGCAAGACGAAGCCAGAGGAAACUCUGGUGGAGGUCUGUAGCGAUUCUGACGUGCAAAUCGAUCGUCAGACCUGGGUAUAGGGGCGAAAGACUAAUCGAACCAUC
rnacentral:rRNA from 1 species